AGUGAACGCUGGCGGCAGGCCUAAUACAUGCAAGUCGAACGGCAGCACAGCAGAGCUUGCUCUGUGGGUGGCGAGUGGCGGACGGGUGAGGAAUACAUGGGAAUCUGCCCAGUCGUGGGGGAUAACGUAUGGAAACGUACGCUAAUACCGCAUGCGCCCUACGGGGGAAAGUCGGGGACCGCAAGGCCUGGCGCGAUUGGAUGAGCCCAUGUUCGAUUAGCUAGUUGGCGGGGUAAAGGCCCACCAAGGCGACGAUCGAUAGCUGGUCUGAGAGGAUGAUCAGCCACACUGGAACUGAGACACGGGUCCAGACUCCUACGGGGAGGCAGCAGUAGGGAAUAUUGGACAAUGGGGGCGAACCCUGAUCCAGCCAUGCCGCGUGAGUGAAGAAGGCCCUCGGGUUGUAAAGCUCUUUUGUUCCGGAAAGAAAAGACAAUCGGUUA
rnacentral:rRNA from 1 species